rnacentral:lncRNA from 1 species
CCUACUUUUGAAUAUUUCAGAAACAAAAUCAUAUACUGAAGUACUUUCACCAAGAGUAAACACAAAUUAAGCCCCCCUCUUUGUGGAGUCCAUGCAAUUCAAGGUCGACUUCGUUGAGGGAGAGGGUGAUUGCGAAAACCAUCGAUUUGGGAAUAUUUUAAUUUAAAACUCUCUCCCACCGGGUAACCACGUGAAGUGGUACAAUACAAAUACUAGGUGUUUUUUCCUAUCCACCCACUUCCUACAAUAUCUCGUUAUAAAGAGAAAACCAACUUUAUGAAGAAAAGAUGAGGAAAAGGAAAGCUCCUGGUCUGCAAUCAAUGCCUCCUUACUCACUGCUUCCUUCUUUACUCCUUCCUCCUCCUUCUUCCUCUAUCUCUCUCUUCUCUCUCAUUAUAUGCGCUGCAUUCAACCCCCAAUAACAUGUCUCUCUCAGUCCUUCUGGUCUUCACGGAGGAGGCAGCUGUCUUUCUCAAGCUAGCAGCAAGCUUUCUCUGCUGGUAAAAACAGCAUUUGUUACAAAACACACAUGGCUGUCUUUCUCAAAGCUAGUCCUUCUCGGGUCUUCACUGUU